rnacentral:rRNA from 1 species
UACGUAGGGUGCAAGCGUUGUCCGGAAUUAUUGGGCGUAAAGAGCUCGUAGGCGGUCUGUCGCGUCGGCUGUGAAAACCCGAGGCUCAACCUCGGGCCUGCAGUCGAUACGGGCAAACUAGAGUACUGCAGGGGAGACUGGAAUUCAUGGUGUAGCAGUGAAAUGCGUAGAGAUCAUGAGGAAGACCAGUGGCGAAGGCGGGUCUCUGGACAGUUCCUGACACUGAGACACGAAGGCCAGGGGAGCAAACGGG